rnacentral:rRNA from 1 species
GACGAACGCUGGCGGCGUGCUUAACACAUGCAAGUCGAACGGUGAAGCGCCUUCCUUUUUGGUGGGUGUGGAUGAGUGGCGAACGGGUGAGUAACACGUGAGUAACCUGCCCCCUUCUUCUGGAUAACCGCAUGAAAGUGUGGCUAAUACGGGAUAUUCUGGGUCUGUCGCAUGAUGGGUCUGGGAAAGAUAUUGUUUCGGUGGGGGAUGGGCUCGCGGCCUAUCAGCUUGUUGGUGGGGUGAUGGCCUACCAAGGCGGUGACGGGUAGCCGGCCUGAGAGGGUGGACGGUCACACUGGGACUGAGACACGGCCCAGACUCCUACGGGAGGCAGCAGUGAGGAAUAUUGCACAAUGGGCGCAAGCCUGAUGCAGCGACGCCGCGAGAGGGAUGGAGGCCUUCGGGUUGUGAGCCUCUUUCGCCAGUGAAGCAGGCCUGCCUCGUUUGUGGGUGGGUUGACGGUAGCUGGAUAAGAAGCGCCGGCUAACUACGUG